rnacentral:ncRNA from 1 species
GAACGCCGUGUGCGGUGAAAGUCGCACGCACGGUGUGGAGCGGGGGAAAAUCCGAAGAUAACUUCAAAGGAUUACCUAUCGCUAU